rnacentral:rRNA from 1 species
AGCGAACGCUGGCGGCAGGCCUAACACAUGCAAGUCGAACGAACUCUUCGGAGUUAGUGGCAGACGGGUGAGUAACACGUGGAACCUUCCUAGGGGUACGGAACAACUCAGGGAAACUUGAGCUAAUACCGUAUACGUCCGUGAGGAGAAAGAUUUAUCGCCCUUAGACGGGCCCGCGUCGGAUUAGGUAGUUGGUGGGGUAACGGCCUACCAAGCCUACGAUCCGUAGCUGAUCUUAGAGGAUGAUCAGCCACACUGGGACUGAGACACGGCCCAGACUCCUACGGGAGGCAGCAGUGGGGAAUCUUGGACAAUGGGCGCAAGCCUGAUCCAGCCAUGCCGCGUGAGUGAAGAAGGCCUUAGGGUUGUAAAGCUCUUUUACCAGGGACGAUAAUGACGGUACCUGGAGAAUAAGCCCCGGCAAACUUCGUGCCAGCCGCCGCCGUAAGAC